GAUGAACGCUGGCGGUAUGCCUAACACAUGCAAGUCGAACGGGCUUUUCGGAGCUAGUCGCGGACGGGUGAGUAACGCGUGAGAAUCUGCCUUCAGGAUGGGGAUCACAGGGAGAAAUCGCUGCUAAAACCCAAUGUGCCGAAAGGUGAAAUACUUGUAGCCAGAAGAGGAGCUGGCGUCCGAUUAGCUAGUUGGUGGGGUAAGAGCCUACCAAGGGAGCGAUCGGUAGCUGGUCUGAGAGGAUGAGCAGCCACACUGGGACUGAGACACGGCCCAGACUCCUACGGGAGGCAGCAGGGGGGAAUUUUCCGCAAUGGGCGAAAGCCUGACGGAGCAAUACCGCGUGAGGGAGGAAGGCUUUUGGGUUGUAAACCUCUUUUGUUAAGGAAGAAGAAAGUGACGGUACUUAAAGAAUAAGCAUCGGCUAACUCCGUGCCAGCAGCCGCCGUAA
rnacentral:rRNA from 1 species